ACGCUCGACACCUACGGGAAGCAGCAGUGGGGAAUAUUGCACAAUGGGGGAAACCCUGAUGCAGCGACGCCGCGCGAGUGAAGAAGUAUUUCGGUAUGUAAAGCUCUAUCAGCAGGGAAGAAGAUGACGGUACCUGAGUAAGAAGCCCCGGCUAACUACGUGCUAGCAGCCGCGGUAAUCUGAGCGGGCUGGCAAGGC
rnacentral:rRNA from 1 species